GGGGUUGUUUGGUUUCUACAUAAUAAUAUAAAGUGUUAAGAAAAGCAUAAACUUGCUUAAAACUUACAGUCUGUAAACUAAUAGCAAAAAGUCAAAUUCUUCCGUUUUCUUUAAUGUCAGUGGUUUAACAUUGUUUUUAUAUUCAAAAAGAAAUCAACUUAAAUUUCUACACCUAAGUUGAUUAUAUAAUGUAGAUGCUCUUAAGUAUUAUUUUAAGUUAAGUAAAAAAUAUAAAUAAUUGUAAUUUAGUUAAAUAAUAAUCUUAACAUAUAUUAUUUUGGACGUGGGUUCAAGUCCCACCAACUCCA
rnacentral:tmRNA from 1 species